GAAACUGAAAUAACAACCAUCUACGAGGAAACAACUCAGUGGGGAAACGGAGAAAGGUUAAAGUCUUUCUGCUUAAGGGGCUGACACUUGUAAUACCCCAAAAUUUACCCUUCAUUUUUCCUGGAAGCAUAGGCUUUACACCUCAUGCAUGCAUUCAUUUUUUAGGUCAUUUAGCAUUUGCAUUUCAUCAUGGCAAUUGGAAUCGGAUCCAAGAAGCUUGAACAUCAUCCAGGACACUUUGUGGGCUCUAUUUAGAUGAUCAGUCAACACAAGGGAAAGACUUCAGUUACUUCCAACAGGGGUCUAUUCGUCAGUCAAAACGUUAAUCUUGAAGGAGCAAAGGUUGUUCAUGAUCUGUCAUGCUCGCUAGGCGAAGCC
rnacentral:lncRNA from 1 species